rnacentral:rRNA from 2 species
AUAGUGUUUGAUCCUGGCUCAGGACGAACGCUGGCGGCGUGCCUAAUACAUGCAAGUCGAGCGCGGGAAGCAGGCAGAUCCCUUCGGGGUGAAACCUGUGGAACGAGCGGCGGACGGGUGAGUAACACGUGGGCAACCUGCCUGAAAGUCCGGGAUAACCCCGGGAAACCGGAGCUAAUACCGGAUGGGCCCAUCGACCGCCUGGUCGAUGGGGAAAAGCGGGGAUCUUCCUCGCGCUUUCAGAUGGGCCCGCGGCGCAUUAGCUGGUUGGUGGGGUAAGAGCCUACCAAGGCAACGAUGCGUAGCCGACCUGAGAGGGUGAUCGGCCACACUGGGACUGAGACACGGCCCAGACUCCUACGGGAGGCAGCAGUAGGGAAUCAUCCGCAAUGGGCGAAAGCCUGACGGUGCAACGCCGCGUGAGUGAAGAAGGUUUUCGGAUCGUAAAGCUCUGUUAUCCGAGAAGAACAAGGACCGGUCGAAGAGGCCGGUUCCAUGACGGUACCGAUCAGAAGACCUAGACUUCCAU